UGAAUUAACGAUUAGGUUAGUCUGUAAUCAAAGGUUACCGAUUUUAUAUGUCUAUAAAAGUUAACGACGAAUAUAGAUAAAAAUUUCUUCUUUUUAAAUUUAAUUUAAUUUCAACAAAAUUAUUUAGAUUUCUAAUAUGAACUCGGUGAAGAUAAGAUAAGAGUAUCUCUCUCUGCGUCCCGCGCGACAUAACCUGUCGUUACACGACCAGUCUAGGACUUCUACCAGCAAUCCAAAGUCAUGGUUCCUCAACUCAAGGGUAGGGACGUCCUGUUUCGCAAAAUAUUUGGUCACAGGGCAUUUGUCAUCCUGCACCCCACAGCACCAACCCAUGCCUCACACCUCUACCUAGAAACUCGCACAUGGGAAGUCUCAUUUAUUCCGUAGCACGUUCUGUGUCUAUCAGCGAUCUGGCCGGCCCACAAAAAUGUCUCUUUUGAAUUACCUUGCCUCGUCUCUUUUGAAUUACUUUUUUAAGCGUAGAGCGUUUAGUUAUUCAUGUUACGUCUUUAUUUUUUCUUUUUCCCGGAUUUCGGGGAAGUUGACGUACAAUGAGUUAUAAAAGAUCCUUUCACAUGCUUUGGAAUAAGGUCCUAUUCUAGUUUUGUGUCCACUUUUUUGUAAAUAUACCCAUGGCCAUGGAGACCACCGUA
rnacentral:sRNA from 1 species